CCUACGGGAGGCAGCAGUGAGGAAUAUUUGUCAAUGGACGAGAGUCUGAACCAGCCAAGUAGCGUGAAGGAUGACUGCCCUAUGGGUUGUAAACUUCUUUUAUAUGGGAAUAAAAUGUUCCACGUGUGGGAUUUUGUAUGUACCAUAUGAAUACGGAUCGGCCAACUCCGUGCCAGCAGCCGGGGUAAUACGGAGGAGCCGAGCGUUAUCCGGAUUUAUUGGGUGUAAAGGGCGCGUAGGUGGAGUGUUAAGUCAGUUGUGAAAGUUUGCGGUUCAACCGUAAAAUUGCAGUUGAAACUGGCAGUCUUGAGUACAGUAGAGGUGAGCGGAAUUCGUGGUGUAGCGGUGAAAUGCUUAGAUAUCACGAAGAACUCCGGUUGCGAAGGCAGCUCACUGGACUGCAACUGACGCUGAGGCUCGAAAGUGUGGGGAUCAAACAGGAUUAGAUACCCGAGUAGUC
rnacentral:rRNA from 1 species